GAUGAACGCUGGCGGCGUGCCUAAUACAUGCAAGUAGAACGCUGAAGCUUGGUGCUUGCACCGAGCGGAUGAGUUGCGAACGGGUGAGUAACGCGUAGGUAACCUGCCUGGUAGCGGGGGAUAACUAUUGGAAACGAUAGCUAAUACCGCAUGACAACAGUUAUUGCAUGAUAACUGUUUAAAAGGGGCAACUGCUCCACUACCAGAUGGACCUGCGUUGUAUUAGCUAGUUGGUGAGGUAACGGCUCACCAAGGCGACGAUACAUAGCCGACCUGAGAGGGUGAUCGGCCACACUGGGACUGAGACACGGCCCAGACUCCUACGGGAGGCAGCAGUAGGGAAUCUUCGGCAAUGGACGGAAGUCUGACCGAGCAACGCCGCGUGAGUGAAGAAGGUUUUCGGAUCGUAAAGCUCUGUUGUAAGAGAAGAACGAGUGUGAGAGUGGAAAGUUCA
rnacentral:rRNA from 1 species